UCGAUUAUUCGCACCAUCCCAGGGAUGGUGGGUUAGCGCACGUGGACUGAGCACACACAGCGACCCGCCCAACGAGGCGGGUUUU
rnacentral:sRNA from 1 species